AUUUUCUUAUUGUUGUCUCAGAGUUUUUUAAACUUAUGAAUGAGGUGGAGAAUGGGGAUCUGGUGUUUACGUUGGAGACAAUAGUAGAUAAGUUUGGGGAGGAGAUGGCACCUUAUGCCCUUGGGUUGUGCCAAAACUUGGCUUCUGCAUUUUGGAGGUGUAUGAAUACAGCUGAAACUGAAGAAGACGCUGAUGAUUAUGGUGCUUUAGCUACUGUAGGAUGAUGAAGGACUAUUGCUUGAAUGAGACACCAAUGCGAUGGCUAACUAGUAAUUGUGGUGGAAAGAAUACAUAUACACUUGGUGAAAUUAAUGAAACUCGAAAUGAAUGGGCAGCCAAGCUUCUUGAGCGGAUGAGUCAUAGUUAGAGUAACUUUUGAAAUCGGAAUUAACAAAUAUACUAAUUGUAGUAUUUAGUUAGUACUUACAUAGUUAUUCCAAGUGUAUAUUUUGAUAUUGUAAUUUUAGAUUUGGAACAUACCGAGUUCUAUUGAUUUUGUCUGCCUAUUGAUUAUGUCUGAACUAUGUUGUAAUUACACAGGAAAUUAUGAAUGAAUAUAGUGGUUGAAAAUAGAUAAAUGAAAAAAUUCUCAUAUUCUA